AUUUAUAUAGUUUAAAGAAAACAUUACAUUUUCAUUGUAAAAUUAAAAACCAGUUUUUAUAAAUA
rnacentral:tRNA from 1 species